rnacentral:rRNA from 1 species
UACAGAGGGUGCGAGCGUUAAUCGGAAUUACUGGGCGUAAAGCGCGCGUAGGCGGCUUUGCAAGUCGGGUGUGAAAUCCCCAGGCUUAACCUGGGAACUGCAUUCGAGACUGCAUUGCUAGAGUAUGGGAGAGGGAAGAUGGAAUUUCCGGUGUAGCGGUGAAAUGCGUAGAUAUCGGAAGGAACAUCAGUGGCGAAAGCGACUUCCUGGACCAAUACUGACGCUCAUGUGCGAAAGCGUGGGGAGCAAACAGG